rnacentral:lncRNA from 1 species
ACCCUAAUGUCCACAGGGUUAGCUUGUGCCUGUUUUUGUUGGCAAUCCAAUAGUGUAAAUCACAUCUCAUGAAGUGGAUUAUUCCACCACUCUGAAACCCCAAACUGUUGAAACAUCAAAACAGAUUAAUUCUAGCAGCCAAGAGCAAAGUGUCGUCAUUUUUUUCAAGGCAGAAACACACAACACCUACACUACCCAAGACCUAUUUCCUUCACCCAGGGAGCAGAAGAAGCCAUGACUCCCAGGAUCAGAAGAUA